AAUAUUGGACAAUGGGCGAAAGCCUGAUCCAGCCAUGCCGCGUGUGUGAAGAAGGUCUUCGGAUUGUAAAGCACUUUAAGUUGGGAGGAAGGGCAGUAAGUUAAUACCUUGCUGUUUUGACGUUACCGACAGAAUAAGCACCGGCUAACUUCGUGCCAGCAGCCGCGGUAAUACGUAGGGUGCGAGCGUUAAUCGGAAUUACUGGGCGUAAAGCGUGCGCAGGCGGUUGAUUAAGACAGGCGUGAAAUCCCCGGGCUCAACCUGGGAACUGCUUUCAAAACUGGCAAGCUAGAGUAUGGCAGAGGGUGGUGGAAUUUCCUGUGUAGCGGUGAAAUGCGUAGAUAUAGGAAGGAACACCAGUGGCGAAGGCGACCACCUGGGCUAAUACUGACACUGAGGUGCGAAAGCGUGGGGAGCAAACAGG
rnacentral:rRNA from 1 species